UAAAUGAGGACUUGUAUCAACGGCAUCACGAGGAUCUCACUGUCUCCCCUCUCUAAUCAGUGAAACUGAUCUCUCCGUGAAGAAGCGGAGAUUUCGUUAUAAGACGAGAAGACCCCAUGGAGCUUUAAACCCAAUGACACCCCCUUUUGACAUAUCCUUACAAGCUACUGGGAACUGAUCACUUGGUUUUAGGUUGGGGUGACCACGGAGUAUAAAAUAACCUCCAUGAAGGACGGAGAAACUUCCUUAUCCAAGAGUUACACCUCUAAGAAUUACAACACUAAUUUAUAAUGAUCCGACAUUCGAUCAACGGACCAAGUUACCCUGGG
rnacentral:rRNA from 1 species